UUUGGCACCUUGAAACUGGGA
rnacentral:miRNA from 1 species